CAUUUACAUAAUGCUUUGUCUGCAUUUUGCAACUUUGUUAGACCCGCAGAAACCCCCACCUCCUGCGCAGGUGUUUAGUCGCUGCCACCUUGUCAGACAUUUCAGACAGUGGCGUUCAUUUAGGGCACCGCAUUUACCCGUGCUCGGGGAGUUCCUGCGGUUUUCCCCGCCAAGGUUAAGCUCCCGCUACUGCAUAUCGGCCUUUUCCCGCAUGGUGCAGCCGCCGCGCCCGCGCUCUCUGGGGGCGGCCCCCAACCGGGACCGCCAUCUUGGAAGGCCUUUGCUGCCGAGUGUCCAGCCGCGCGUUCCUCUCGCUAAAGAAAGGUCGCUGGGGCGGUUGGUGUGGCAGUUGUGAUUUCUGCCCUUUCCCCUUUCCUUUGGCUGAGCCUGACAGAAAAGACCGGGUGCUCAGCGUCCUUCCGGAUCCCUGAGAGAAAGCGGCUAACGUGGCGGCCCCUCCGCCCCCUCCUUCGUCCCCGCGGGCGUAGCCGCCAUGUUUCCUGAACACAAAAUGGCGACACGUGGCCUGGAUUCGUCGCCAACGAGAAAUUGGGGUCGGCCUGAAAGCUCUAGAACGCGCCCCUCCCCCCUCCCGGCUCCUGAUGCCGGUGGGCUGGGGCCCUUCCCAUGCAGCGAGUACUCUUACCAGAUAGGAGUGAAACCCUGCAGGCUGGUCCCAACCUCAGCGGGCGAAUUUUAUUAUGAAAUCACUUAGAUGAAGUGACUAAUUCAAGGUCACGCACUGUUAAGGAUGGAAUUCAGACCUUCUGAUGUACUUAUUGACCUGCACUAUCUUGUGGAUAUGUGGAUGAAUUUCUACACCACCCAUUUUAUAGAUGAGACUACUGAGAUACAGAACAACUGACUAAAUAGUCACCACCCUAUCCCUGGAGCCUCACUCAUGACUCUCCUCUCAGGUGAAAUGUGAUCUUGUCAGUGUAAUAUGGAAGUGGAGAUUGACUCUGGAGCUAGCCUGAUGGGGCCUGAAUUCUGACUCAGCCACUUACUAUAUGACCUUGGGUAUUCAUAGCAGUGUAACCCACAAUGUGAGAACACCAUUGGUAACUCUGAUGUACUGUUUACGACGCCUAAUCCUAUUAUCCAAAUAAAAUCUGUUGAUGUUC